GGCUCUCUCACUCUGGCUCCCUCCUGAUUGAGGUUCAUUCCUUUCACCUGCUCUCACCUGCACACCAGCUCUCCAUCUCCUCAUCAACUCAGCAGUAUAUAUACCCCGGCUCUCCAUCCAUUCAUCACCAGAUUGUUGUUUCAACUACUGGGGAUCACCAUUCACCCACCUGCCUUCCUGCUCAGCCAUCUGCCUCAACAUGCUCUUUGGACUCCAAACUGCUCAGCCACACUCACACCCCUACUCUGGUCUGGUCAGCCUUCGUCCCCUUCACUCUGCUAACCUCCAGAAUCUUCAACCCAUCUUCAUCUCCAUUUGCCACAAUAAACCUCAUUACCAAUCAGC